AGCAACAGGCAGGCAGGAAGUUACACCAAGGCUAUCAGAGCCCACCACCACCAGCAUUGAGAAGCAAGACCGGGAAGGAGGACAUCUUUUAAAAUAAUCCCAGCAUCCCUCUCAUCUUGCCUGAUAAUGCAGGCAGCCUCCAAAUUUGCUCAGAAAAUUCUGAGAGAUUCCGAGCAGGACAAACAUCCAGAAGGAAACCCUAAACAUGCUUGGGAGCAACCCCGAUCCUUUUGAACAGUGCCCGCUAACCCCCAAUGUAUCAUCUCGGCUGUCAAGAGUUGAAGAAUGAACACACAAGGCUCAACAUGAUUAAUACUCCUUCAAGAAAGCAGUAACUUCAUUGCAAUGAAAAGGGGGGUUUAUAAUGAACAUCCUGUUUGCCCCACUAGCGCAUUUUAAAAUCCUGGAAAUGUUCCAGUAGGAAUAUU